UACGUAGGGGGCGAGCGUUGUCCGGAAUCAUUGGGCGUAAAGCGCGUGUAGGCGGCCCAGUAAGUCCGCUCUGAAAGCCCGGGGCUUAACCCCGGGAGGCGGGUGGAUACUGCUGGGCUCGAGUCCGGAAGAGGCGAGUGGAAUUCCCGGUGUAGCGGUGAAAUGCGCAGAUAUCGGGAGGAACACCAAUGGCGAAGGCAGCUCGCUGGGACGUGACUGACGCUGAGACGCGAAAGCGUGGGGAGCAAACAGG
rnacentral:rRNA from 1 species